UCCCUGGUGGUCUAGCGGCUAAAGAUCCCGUGCUCUUACUGCCGCGGCACAGGUUCAAUUCCCAGGCAGGGAA